rnacentral:lncRNA from 1 species
AUUGAGCAUUGUACAAACUUGUGAUGGCAAAGUAAUAAAAGUGGUGGACUGCAUAAUAAAGGUUACUAUCAUAAGUGGCAAUAUAACAUGACGUUCCUUUGCAUUAAGAGUUUGGGCAUCCAAAUAAAAAGUGCAUGACAACCUCUGCUUCCCUCUGCGAAGGGUCUAUCUUUUACUUUUCAGUAUUUACUUUUAUGCAAGAGUCAAUAGAAUGCAUUCUCAUUUCAACCCCAAUUAUUCUAUAGUUGGCAAGCAUCAUGUGGUGGGGAAAGAUAUAUGCACAUAUGACCAAUCAAAUAUAUUUGAUAAUGAUUUAUUAUUGUUGACAAUUAUCUCUAUGAUAAAUGAGUUGGGAGGCGAAACAUUAAGCCCCUGUCUUUCUUUGUGUUUGAUGGAUGCCAUUUGUUCUAAAAAUAUGCUUUGAGUACCAGAAAUCAUGGAAGACUAUAUGAUGAUUGAGUAUGUGGAGCUCUUACUUAGACUCUGUUGAAUAAUGGAAUUGCAAUUGUUUGGUGACUAAGAAUAUAGGUUGUUGAGUUUCAAGAGAAUUCAUUGUUUGAACCUUAACAUGUGAAUUUGUUGCUACUUUAACAUGAGAAAGAAUUGUUGUUAUGAUGCUAGGAAAAGUGAUUGGAAUUAUCAUUGAUCAAACUUAUGCACCAUGCUAGCAUUCACACUUCAUAAAUUAUUUCUUUUAUCAUUUACCUACUCGAGGACAAGCAGGAAUUAAGCUUGGGGAUGUUGAUACGUCUCCAACGUAUCUAUAAUUUAUGAAGUAUUCAUGCCAUGUUUACAACAAUUUUAUAUGGUUUUGGUAUGAUUUGCAUGGAACUAACCUGGACUGACGCUAUUUUCAGCAGAACUACUAUGGUGUUGUUUUUUGUGGAGAAAUAAAAGUUCUCCAAAUGCAACGAAACUUUUUGACGGUUUUUUUGGAACAAAAGAGGCACUAGAAGCUUCGUGGGAGGACCAGAAGGUUAAGAAGGUGAGCACAAGACACCUGGGCAUGCCAGGAGGCCCAGACGCGCACAUGUGGGUUGUGCCCACCUCGAGGCCCAUCUUCGUGUGAUUCCAACACUCAAAAAUCCUAUAAAUAGAGAAACCAUCAGAAAUAACCCUAAAUCAGAAGUUUCUCUGCCGCAAGCCUCUGUAGCCAAGAAAAACCAAUCUAGACCCCGUUCCGGCAUCGUGCCAGAGAGGGAAAUCAUCACCGGUGGCCAUCUUCAUCAUCCCAGCGGGCACCAUGAUGAGGAGGGACUAGUCCACCCUCGAUGCCGAGGGUUGUAUCGCGGGCUUUGUUAAUAUAGUUGGAUCACAUGGUGUUUCUCCCUCUCUAUCUUGUUGUGAUGAAUUGAGUUUUCCCUUUGAGAUUUCGUUGUUAUCGGAUUGAAUACUUUAAUGGAUUUGAGAGCACUUGAUGUAUGUCUUGCUAUGAAUACCCGUGGUGACAAUGGGGUAUCAUAUUGAUUCACUUGAUAUGUGUUUUGGCACUCAACUCGCGGAUUCCCGAUGUGACAUUGGGGUAAUCUAUGCAUAGGGGUUGAUGCACGUUCUCGUCUUGGUAGAAAUCUUGGGGCACUCUUUGAGGUUCUUUGUGUUGGAUUGAAUAUUAUGAAUCUGAAAUUGUUUGAUGUGUUUCGUAUAAUUAACUCAUGAAUACUUGUGGUGACAUUGGAGUAUUUAGGUGAAAUUAGAGUUGGUUGAUGUGUAUCAUAUGGUGUUAUUUUAGUACACACUCUUGAAUAGAUCGAACUAGAAGAAUAACUUUGCAUUAUUUUAGUAUGAACUCUUGAAUAGAUUGAACGGAAAGAAUAACUUUAAGGUGGUUUUGUACCCUACAAACAAUUUCUUCUUAUGUUCUCCACUAGAUAAGAACUUUGGAGUGAUUCUUCAUCACAUGUUGAGGGAUGGUUAUAUGAUCCAAUUAGAUUAGCAUUGUUGAGAGAUUGCACUAGCGAAAGUACAAACCCUAGACCUCAUUUUCAAGCAUUGCAAUACCGUUUUUGCUCCAUUUUAUCAGUUGCUACCUUGUUGUUUUUAUUCUACCUAUUACAAAAAUCAAUAUCUACUAUCAUUACUAUACUUGUAUCACCAUCUCUUCGCCGAACUAGUGCACCUAUACAAUUUACCAUUGUAUUUGGUGUGUUGGGGACACAAGAGACUCUUUGUUAUCUGGUUGCAGGGUUGUUUGAGAGAGACCAUCUUCAUCCUACACCUCCCACGGGUUGAUAAACCUUAGGUCAUCCACUUGACGGAAAAUUGCUACUUUCCUACAAAACUCUGCACUUGGAGGCCCAACACGAGUCUAUAAGAAUAAAGUUGCAUAGUAGACAUCAUGGAGUAUGCAAAGCUCAAGCUUAAGAGCAACUCCAACGCAGCGACCCAAAUCAUCCGCCUGCGUUCGUUUGGAUCGGCGCGGACAAAAGCGGAGGCCCAACGCGCCGACCCAAACCCAAAAUGUGUCUGCUUCGCAUCCGCGCCGCAUGUCCCCUCGGUGUCUGCCGCGGUCCCACUUGGCAGCCACCAACUACCUCCCAUCAUCUAAUUUAUGACGACCACUGACACCCGGCCCACUAGUCAGCCAGUGGAAGCGUCGUUUUUAACCCACGAGUAUGGGGGCGGCCUCAUCCACUACCGUCCACAUCUGGCCCCCACCACAUGUUGGAAAUAUGUCCUAGAGGCAAUAAUAAAAUGAUUAUUAUUAUAUUUCCUUGUUCAUGAUAAUUGUCUAUUGUUCAUGCUAUAAUUGUAUUAACCGGAAACAGUGAUACAAGUGUGAAUACAUAGACCACAACAUGUCCCUAGUGAGCCUCUAGUUGACUAGCUCGUUGAUCAACAGAUAGUCAUGGUUUCCUGACUAUGGACAUUGGAUGUCAUUGAUAACGGGAUCACAUCAUUAGGAGAAUGAUGUGAUGGACAAGACCCAAUCCUAAGCAUAGCACAAGAUUGUGUAGUUCGUUUGCUAAAGCUUUUCUAAUGUCAAGUAUUAGUUUCUUAGACCAUGAGAUUGUGUAACUCCCGGAUACCGUAGGAGUGCUUUGGGUGUACCAAACGUCACAACGUAACUGGGUGACUAUAAAGGUACACUACAGGUAUCUCCGAAAGUGUCUGUUGGGUUGGCACGAAUAGAGACUGGGAUUUGUCACUCCGUAUGACGGAGAGGUAUCUCUGGGCCCACUCGGUAAUGCAUCAUCAUAAUGAGCUCAAUGUGACCAAGUGGUUGGUCAUGGGAUCAUGCAUUACAGAACGAGUAAAGUGACUUGCCGGAAAUGCGAUUGAACGAGGUAUUGGGAUACCAACGAUCAAAUCUCGGGCAAGUAAUGUACCGUGUGACAAAGGGAAUUGUAUAUGGGAUUACUUGAAUGCUCGACAUCGUGGUUCAUCCGAUGAGAUCAUCGUGGAACAUGUAGGAGCCAACAUGGGUAUCCAGAUCCCAUUGUUGGUUAUUGGCCGGAGAGCUGUCUCGGUCAUGUCUACGCGAUUCCCGAACCCGUAGGGUCUACACACUUAAGGUUUGGUGACGCUAGGGUUAUUAGGAAGACUUGUAUGUGAUUACCGAAUGUUGUUCGGAGUCCCUGAUGAGAUCCCGGAUGUCACGAGGAGUUCCGGAAAUGGUCUGGAGGUGAAGAUUUAUCUAUGGGAAGUUGUAAUACGGUCACCGGAAAGGUUCGGGGGCAUACCAGUAUUGUACCGGGGCGACCGGAAGGGUUCCAGGGGUCCACUGGGAGGGGCCACCUCUCCCGGAGGGCCUCAUGGGCCGUAGUGGUCAGGGAACCAACCCUUAGAGGGCUGGGCACAUCCCCCCCUUGGGCCCAUGCGCCUAGGGUUGGGGGGGGGGGGAAACCUUAAGGGGGGCGCCCCCUUUGCUUGGGGGGCAAGUCCCCCCCUUGGCCGCCCCCCCUCUAGAUCUCAUCUAGAGGGGGUCGGCCCCCUUCCUCCUCCCCCAAUAAAUAGAGGGGCAAGGGGAGGGCUGCACACACACCUCCAAGGUGCAGCCCCUCCCUUCCCCAACAUCUCUCCUCCUCCGCAGAAGCUUGGCGAAGCCCUGCCGGAGUGUUGCCUCUCCAUCACCACCAUGUCGUCGUGUUGCUGCUGGAGCUUUCUUCCUCAACCUAUCCCUCCUCCUUGCUGGAUCAAGGUGUGGGAGACGUCUCCGCUCCGUACGUGUGUUGAACACGGAGGUGUUGUCCAUUCGGCGCUAGGAUCAUCGAUGAUUUGGAUCACGAUGAGUACGACUCCAUCAACCCCAUUCUCUUGAACGCUUCCGCUCACGAUCUACAAGGGUAUGUAGAUGCACUCCUCUCUCUCUCGUUGCUAGAUGACUCCAUAGAUUGAUCUUGGUGAUGCGUAGAAAUUUUUUAUUUUCUGCAACAAUCUUCAACAGUGGCAUCAUGAGCUAGGUCUAUGCGUAGUUUCUAUGCACGAGUAGAACACAGUUCUGUUGUGGGCAUAGAUUUUGUCAAUUUACUUGCCACUACUAGUCUUAUCUUGUUUCGGCGGCAUCAUGGGAUGAAGUGGCCCGGAACGACCUUACACGUACGCUUACGUGAGAUAGGUUCCACCAACUGACAUGCACUAGUUGCAUAAGGUGGCUAGCGGGUGUAUGUCUCUCCCACUUUAGUCGGAUCGGAUUCGAUGAAAAGGGUCCCUAUGAAGGGUAAAUAUAAAUUGGCAUAUCAUGUUGUGGUUUUGGCGUAGGUAAGAAAUGUUCUUGCUAGAACCCUAUAGUAGCCACGUAAAAACUUGCAACAACAAUUAGAGAACGUCUAACUUGUUUUUGCAGCAUAUGCCUUGUGAUGUGAUAUGGCCAAAAGGAUGUGAUGAAUGAAAUAUAUGUGGUGUAUGAGAUUGAUCAUGUUCUUGUAAUAGGAAUCACGACUUGCAUGUUGAUGAGUAUGACAACCGGCAGGAGCCAUAGGAGUUGUCUUUAUUUAUUGUAUGACCUGCGUGUCAUUGAAUAACGCCAUGUAAUUACUUUACUUCUUUGCUAAACACGUUAGCCAUAGUAGUAGAAGUAAUAGUUGGCGAGACAACUUCACGGAGACACGAUGAUGGAGAUCAUGGUGUCAUGCCGGUGACGAUGAUGAUCAUGGCGCCCCGAAGAUGGAGAUCAAAAGGAGCAAAAUGAUAUUGGCCAUAUCAUGUCACUAUUUGAUUGCAUGUGAUGUUUAUCAUGUUUUUGCAUCUUAUUUGCUUAGAACGACGGUAGUAAAUAAGAUGAUCCCUCGUAACAAUUUCAAGAAAGUGUUCCCCCUAACUAUGCGCCGUUGCGAAAGUUCGUUGUUUUGAAGCACCAUGUGAUGAUCGGGUGUGAUAGAUCCUAACGUUCACAUACAAUAGGUGUAAGACAGAUUUACACAUGCAAAACACUUAGGUUGACUUGAUGAGCCUAGCAUGUACAGACAUGGCCUCGGAAUACAAGAGACCGAAAGGUCGAACAUGAGUCGUAUAGAAGAUACGAUCAACAUGGAGAUGUUCACCGAUGAUGACUAGUCCGUCUCACGUGAUGAUCGGACACGGCCUAGUUGACUCGGAUCAUGUAUCACUUAGAUGACUAGAGGGGUGUCUAUCUAAGUGGGAGUUCAUUAAAUAAUUUGAUUAGAUGAACUCCAUUAUCAUGAACUUAGUCUAAAACCUUUGCAAAAUGUCUUGUAGAUCAAAUGGCCCACGCUCAUGUCAACCUCAACUUCAACGUGUUCCUAGAGAAAACCAAGCUGAAGGACGAUGGUAGCAACUAUACGGACUGGGUCCGGAACCUGAGGAUCAUCCUCAUAGCUGCCAAGAAAGCAUAUGUCCUAGAAGCACCGCUAGGUGAAGCACCCGUCCCAGCGAACCAAGACGUUAUGAACGCUUGGCAGUCGCGUGUUGAUGACUACUCCCUCGUUCAGUGCGGCAUGCUUUACAGCUUAGAACCGGGGCUCCAAAAGCGUUUUGAGCAACACGGAGCAUAUGAGAUGUUUGAAGAGCUGAAAGUGGUUUUCCAAGCUCAUGCCCGGGUCGAGAGAUAUGAAGUCUCCGACAAGUUCUACAGUUGUAAUAUGGAGGAAAAUAGUUCUGUCAGCGAGCACAUACUCAAAAUAUCUGGGUUGCACAACCGCUUGUCCCAGCUGGACAUUAACCUCCCGGAUGAGGCGGUCAUUGACAGAAUCCUUCAGUCGCUCCCACCUAGCUACAAGAGCUUUGUGAUGAACUACAAUAUGCAGGGGAUGGUGAAAACUAUUCCUGAGGUAUUUUCAAUGCUGAAAUCAGUGAAGGUAGAAAUCAAAAAGGAACAUCAAGUGUUGAUGGUCAAUAAAACCACUAGCUUCAAGAAAGGCAAGGGUAAGAAGAACUUCAAGAAGGGCGGCAAGGGAGUUGCCGCGCCCGGUAAGCCAGUUGCCGGGAAGAAGCCAAAGAAUGGACCCAAGCCUGAGACUGAGUGUUUUUAUUGCAAAGGGAACGGUCACUGGAAGCGGAACUGCCCCAAAUACUUAGCAGACAAGAAGGCCGGCAACACUAAAGGUAUAUUUGAUAUACAUGUAAUUGAUGUGUACCUUACCAGUACUCGUAGUAACUCCUGGGUAUUUGAUACCGGUGCCGUUGCUCACAUUUGUAACUCACAGCAGGAGCUGCGGAAUAAGCGGAGACUGGCGAAGGAUGAGGUGACGAUGCGCGUCGGGAAUGGUUCCAAGGUUGAUGUGAUCGCCGUCGGCACGCUACCUCUACAUUUACCUACGGGAUUACUUUUAAACCUCAAUAAUUGUUAUUUAGUACCAAGUUUGAGCAUGAACAUUGUAUCUGGAUCUCGUUUAAUACGAGAUGGCUACUCAUUUAAAUCCGAGAAUAAUGGUUGUUCUAUUUAUAUGAGAGAUAUGUUUUAUGGUCAUGCCCCGUUGGUCAAUGGUUUAUUCUUAAUGAAUCUCGAACGUGAUGUUACACAUAUUCAUAGUGUGAAUACCAAAAGAUGUAAGAUUGAUAAUGAUAGUCCCACAUAUCUGUGGCACUGCCGCCUUGGUCACAUUGGUGUUAAACGCAUGAAGAAGCUCCAUACAGAUGGACUUUUGGAGUCUCUUGAUUUCGAAUCAUUUGACACGUGCGAACCAUGCCUCAUGGGCAAAAUGACCAAGACUCCGUUCUCCGGAACAAUGGAGCGAGCAACCAACUUAUUGGAAAUUAUACAUACUGAUGUGUGCGGUCCAAUGAGUGUUGAGGCUCACGGUGGCUAUCGUUAUGUUCUCACCCUCACUGAUGACUUAAGUAGAUAUGGGUAUGUCUACUUGAUGAAACACAAGUCUGAGAACUUUGAAAAGUUCAAGGAAUUUCAGAAUGAGGUAGAGAAUCAACGUGACAGAAAAAUAAAGUUCUUACGAUUAGAUCGUGGGGGAGAAUAUUUAAGUCACAAGUUUGGUAUGCAGUUAAGGAAAUGUGGAAUUGUUUCACAACUCACGCCGCCUGGAACACCUCGGCUUAACGGUGCGUCCGAACGUUGUAAUCGCACUCUAUUGGAUAUGGUGCGGUCUAUGAUGUCUCUUACCGACUUACCGCUAUCAUUUUGGGGAUACGCUUUAGACACAGCUACAUUCACUUUAAAUAGGGCACCGUCUAAAUCCGUUGAGACAACACCGUAUGAAUUAUGGUUUGGAAAGAAACCUAAGCUGUCGUUUCUAAAAGUUUGGGGAUGCGAUGCUUAUGUCAAGAAACUUCAACCUGAAAAGCUCGAACCCAAGUCGGAAAAAUGCGUCUUCAUAGGAUACCCUAAGGAAACCAUGGGGUAUACCUUCUACCUCAGAUCUGAAGGCAAGAUUUUCGUUUCCAAGAACGGGUCCUUUCUGGAGAAAGAGUUUCUCUCGAAAGAAGUAAGUGGGAGGAAAAUGGAACUUGAUUAAGUACUACCUCUUGAACCGGUAAGUAGCGCAGCUCAGGAAGAUGUUCCUGUGGUGCCUGCACCAACUAGAGAGGAAGUUAAUGAUGAUAAUCAAGGUACUUCGGAUCAAGUUACACUGAACUUCGUAGGUCCACAAGGACACGUUCCACACCAGAGUGGUAUGGCAACCCUGUCCUGAAAAUCAUGUUGUUGGACAACGGUGAACCUUCGAACUAUGAAGAAGUAAUGGCGGGCCCAGAUUCCAACAAAUGGCUUGAAGCCAUGCAAUCCGAGAUAGGAUCCAUGUAUGAAAACAAAGUAUGGACUUUGACAGACUUGCCCGAUGAUCGGGCGAACGAUAGAAAAUAAAUGGAUCUUUAAGAAGAAGACAUACGCGGAUGGUAAUGUUACCAUCUAUAAAGCUCGACUUGUCGCUAAGGGUUAUCGGCAAGUUCAAGGAGUUGACUACGAUGAGACUUUCUCUCCCGUAGCGAAGCUGAAGUCCGUCCGAAUCAUGUUAGCAAUUGCCGCAUACUAUGAUUAUGAGAUAUGGCAAAUGGACGUCAAAACGACAUUCCUUAACCGCUAUCUUAAGGAAGAGUUGUAUAUGAUGCAGCCGGAAGGUUUUGUCGAUCCUAAGAAUGCUAACAAGGUUUGCAAGCUCCAGCGAUCCAUUUAUGGGCUGGUGCAAGCAUCUCGGAGUUGGAACAUUCGCUUUGAUGAGAUGAUCAAAGCGUUUGGGUUUAUGCAGACUUAUGGAGAAGCCUGCGUUUACAAGAAAGUGAGUGGGAGCUCUGUGGCAUUUCUCAUAUUAUAUGUGGAUGACAUACUUUUGAUGGGAAAUGAUAUAGAACUCUUGGACAGCAUAAAGGCCUACUUGAAUAAGUGUUUUUAAAUGAAGGACCUUGGAGAAGCUGCUUAUAUAUCAGGCAUCAAGAUCUAUAGAGAUAGAUCGAGAUGCCUCAUAGGUCUUUCACAAAGCACAUACCUUGAUAAGAUAUUGAAGAAGUUCAAUAUGGAUCAGUCCAAGAAGGGGUUCUUGCCUGUGUUGCAAGGUGUGAAAUUGAGCUUGGCUCAAUCCCCGACCACGGCAGAAGAUAAAGAAAAGAUGAGUGGCAUCCCCUAUGCCUCGGCCAUAGGGUCUAUUAUGUAUGCCAUGCUGUGUACCAGACCUGAUGUAAACCUUGCCGUAAGUUUGGUUGCAAGACACCAAAGUAAUCCCGGCAUGGAACACUGGACAGCGGUCAAGAAUAUCCUGAAGUACCUGAAAAGGACUAAGGAUAUGUUUCUCAUUUAUGGAGGUGACAAAGAGCUCGUCGUAAAGGGUUAUAUCGAUGCUAGCUUCGACACAGAUCUGGAUGACUCUAAGUCACAAACCGGAUACGUGUAUAUUUUGAAUGGUGGGGCAGUAAGCUGGUGCAGCAGCAAGCAGAGCAUGGUGGCGGGAUCUACAUGUGAAGUGGAGUACAUGGCAGCCUCGGAGGCAGCGCAUGAAGCAAUCUGGAUGAAGGAGUUCAUCACCGACCUAGGAGUUAUUCCCAAUGCGUCGGGGCCGAUCACUCUCUUCUGUGACAACACUGGAGUUGUUGCCCUUUCCAAGGAGCCCAGGUUUCACAAGAAGACCAAGCACAUCAAGCGUCGCUUCAACUCCAUCCGUAAAAAUGUUCAAGAUGGAGACAUAGAUAUUUGCAAAGUGCAUAUGGAUUUGAAUGUCGCAGAUCCGUUGACUAAACCUCUUCCGCGAGCAAAACAUGAUCAACACCAGAACUCUAUGGGUGUUCGAUUCAUCACAGUGUAACUAGAUUAUUGACUCUAGUGCAAGUGGGAGAUUGUUGGGAAUAUUCCCUAGAGGCAAUAAUAAAAUGAUUAUUAUUAUAUUUCCUUGUUCAUGAUAAUUGUCUAUUGUUCAUUCUAUAAUUGUAUUAACCGGAAACAAUGAUACAUGUGUGAAUACAUAGACCACAACAUGUCCCUAGUGAGCCUCUAGUUGACUAGCUCGUUGAUUAACAGAUAGUCAUGGUUUCCUGACUAUGGACAUUGGAUGUCAUUGAUAACGGGAUCACAUCAUUAGGAGAAUGAUGUGAUGGACAAGACCCAAUCCUAAGCAUAGCACAAGAUCGUGUAGUUCGUUUGCUAAAGCUUUUCUAAUGUCAAGUAUCAGUUUCUUAGACCAUGAGAUUGUGUAACUCCCGGAUACCGUAGGAGUGCUUUGGGUGUACCAAACGUCAUAACGUAACUGGCUGACUAUAAAGGUACACUACAGGUAUCUCCGAAAGUGUCUGUUGGGUUGGCACGAAUCGAGACUGGGAUUUGUCACUCCGUAUGACGGAGAAGUAUCUCUGGGUCCACUCAGUAAUGCAUCAUCAUAAUGAGCUCAAUGUGACCAAGUGGUUGGUCACGGGAUCAUGCAUUACGGAACAAGUAAAGUGACUUGCCGGAAUCGCGAUUGAACGAGGUAUUGGGAUACCAACGAUCGAAUCUCGGGCAAGUAACGUACCUGUGACAAAGGUAAUUGCAUACGGGAUUACUUGAAUCCUCAACAUCGUGGUUCAUCCGAUGAGAUCAUCAUGGAACAUGUAGGAGCCAACAUGGGUAUCCAGAUCCCGCUGUUGGUUAUUGGCCGGAGAGCUGUCUCGGUCAUGUCUACGUGAUUCCCGAACCUGUAGGGUCUACACACUUAAGGUUUGGUGACGCUAGGGUUAUUAGGAAGACUUGUAUGUGAUUACCGAAUGUUGUUCGGAGUCCCGGAUGAGAUCCCGGACGUCACGAGGAGUUCCGGAAAUGGUCCAGAGGUGAAGAUUUAUAUAUGGGAAGUUGUAAUACGGUCACCGAAAAGGUUCGGGGGCAUGCCGGUAUUGUACCGGGGCCACCAGAAGGGUUUCGGGGGUCCACCGGGAGGGGCCACCUCUCCCGGAGGGCUUCAUGGGCCGUAGUGGGAAGGGAACCAGCCCUUAGAGGGCUAGGCGCAUCCCCCCUUGGGCCCAUGCGCCUAGGGUUGGGGGGGAAACCCUAAGGGGGGCGCCCCCUUUGCUUGGGGGGCAAGUCCCCUCCUUGCCCCCCCCUCUAGAUCUCAUCUAGAGGGGGUCGGGCCCCUUCCUCCUUCCCCUAUAAAUAGAGGGGCGAGGGGAGGGCUGCACACACACCUCCAAGGCUCAACCCCUCCCCUCCCCAACAUCUCUCCUCCUCCGCAGAAGCUUAGCGAAGCCCUGCCGGAGUGCUGCCUCUCCAUCACCACCACGCCGUCGUGCUGCUGCUGGAGCUUUCUUCCUCAACCUCUCCCUCCUCCUCGCUGGAUCAAGGCGCGGGAGACGUCUCCGCUCCGUACGUGUGUUGAACGCGGAGGUGCUGUCCGUUCGGCGCUAGGAUCAUCGGUGAUUUGGAUCACGAUGAGUACGACUCCAUCAACCCCGUUCUCUUGAACGCUUCCGCUCACGAUCUACAAGGGUGUGUAGAUGCACUCCUCUCUCUCUCUCUCGUUGCUAGAUGACUCCAUCGAUUGAUCUUGGUGAUGCGUAGAAAAUUUUUAUUUUCUGCAACAAUCUCCAACACCAUCACCUUCCUGCCUCCUCGUCAGCGGCAACCCAAACCCUUGGCAUGGGGCUCUUCGGCAGCAGCUCCGGCAGCGGCAAGGACAAGGGCACCCCCGGCGCCUCAUCCUCCUGUGCUCCUCCUCCCCCUCCCCUCCGCUGCCGGCGCGUGCCCGCUCAGGUCGGCAGCGUCUGCACAUCCAAGUACACCAAAGCAUACAGGCAGCCGCUGCCUUACCCCGAUGUGAUGUUGUCGCACCACUGGCACCUCGAUCCGCAGUGGAUCCCGGUGCCGGCGGUUCCGCGAACACAGUGGGCGCAUGACGAGGAGGUGCGCAGGCGCCGGGCACAACGGCGGAUGCCCGAGUACGCCGCAUACUCUCCCAACUGGGAGGCCUGGUUUGCCCUCGAACACGAGGAGCAACGACGGCUCGACGUCCACAUCAACCACGACCUUCCACCACCACCCCUACGGGUAGAGCCGGAGGCGGAAUACCAAGCGGCCCUCGAGGAGGCCCUGCAACACGCGCUGGAGGCGAGCUAGCUCGAGGAGGACACCCAUUGGGAUGGGCUGGAGCAAGCUCUUACUUUGUCCGCGGCGAGGGAGUCCGUCCAGGCGCCCCUGUUCGUGCCGCCACCGCCGCCGGCACCACCCUUGGUCGAGCCCAAGGCCGAGCCAGAGCGCUAGCCAACUCCCACGCACAAGCGGUCACCCCUCCCCCGCUCUUGGCCGGAGGAGUCCUAUUCAUGGACCGCUCAGUACCGCGAGUGGGUGAACGCGCCUCCCUGUCGUUACGCCACACCGGAAGAAGAGGCGACCCACCUUGAGUGCUGGAAGGCGCAAUGGCUCGCCAAGGAGGGGGCCAACGGCGAGCGACAGAUUCAAUAUGAGCAGAUGUUGCGCCGUGACGAGGAAGCUCUGUGGCUCGAGGAGGAGCGCGCCCGCCUCGCCGCUAUGCCGCCGCCGCAGCAGACGCCGAAGGAGGCUGCCCUGACGGCCUAUCAAGCCGUGUCUUCAUUGACCUCACAAGCGUCCCGACUGCCCUGACGGCCUAUCAAGCCGCGUCUUCAUUGACCUCACAAGCAGCGAGGACGAUGACAGCAAGGGCAAGGCGGUCUACUAGGGUGGCGUGCGGGCGAUUUAUUAGUGUUUUUUUUAAUUUUCUAGUUGUUUAAGUGGACUUGGCCGGCCAUUUAUGUAUAACUAUGUUUAAUUAGUCUGUUUCGGCCAACGUGGUUUCGGAGAAAGCGCGUGCCCGUUUGGGUCGCCGCGUUAAGAGUUGCUCUAACAUGAAUAAGUCUUAUGAAUUAUGAUAGGGUAGAGUGGCACUUCCAGAAAGGAUGAUGAAGAUGGGCUUUGAGGAUCGAUGGGUGAUGGCAGUUAUGAAAUGUCACACCAGUGUGGUUGUCCAGCCGAGCCACUUUCACGUUUCUGGGAACUGGUUCAUCCCAAGCCAGACGGCUGCUUUUAGUUUCCUGCUUGUUAUGCAAGCAACAGAGAUGCACAAAUAGGCCGGGCGGCAAGACAGCCAUCGCCGAUUAAAACCGCAGAACACUCGUUCUGCACAACGAACAGCCAUAUUAAGCAACGAACAGCCAUAUUAAGCCGGUUUGCGUUCGUCUGCAGCCGGAGCUCUGAAAACAAUCCAAAAUUGCAGGGAUAUUUUUUAGAAACAAAGAACAAUGAAAAAACACUUUAAGAAUAUUAACUGAGCAAGGGAAGAAACUUUUGGGACAUGCAAAAGUGAACUUAAAUGGUCACAAACAAAACCCAGAGAUGCCACGCAUAACUAAUACCUGGACGGUUUCCAUCAACAUUCCAAAGAAAGUGCCACCCAAGCAACGACAAUACAUGGGAAACACAAAACAAAAGAUGAUCUGGUGGAUGCCUAUCAAGGCAAUUUUUUGCGAUAAAUUGCACAGGUUGGCGAACAAACAAAGAGUCUGCAGCAUCAUCAUUUGAUGUUCAUUGUUUCAACAUAAAUCCCUGAACAAGUUCUUUGCUGCCAGAG